ensembl:lncRNA
CGAGGAACCUGACCCCAAAGACCAGUCCUCCAAAGCCCAUGACCAGCGAAAACGAGGAACCUGCCCCCAAAGACCAGUCCUCCAAAGCCCAUGACCAGCGAAGACGAGGAACCUGCCUCGAAAGACCAGUCCUCCAAAGCCCAUGACCAGCGAAGACGAGGAACCUGCCUCGAAAGACCAGUCCUCCAAAGCCCAUGACCAGCGAAGACGAGGAACCUGCCUCGAAAGACCAGUCCUCCAAAGCCCACGAUGAGCCUCCCUCCUCCACAUGGUUUGGACAACGAAGACGAGGAACCACAGACCAGAAGAAGUCCAAGGUGAAGGUGGAGUGGAGGAGGAGCCUCAGUUUGGAGGACAGCUCAUCAGAGCAGAACAGGAACGAUCACAGGGUCAGGAAGAAAGCCGUUACAUCUACUAAUAAAAGAAUGGACGACCGGACCAGAGAAGAGAAGUCCAGGACCUGAAGAACAGUUUGCAGUUUUCCCAGGGUCAGCUCGACGAGUUGAAAUAGGAGAACGGCAAGAUGACAUCAAUCUGUGAGUCAUUGAGAGAGGACAUCAGUUCUGUGCGUGAAUCCAUAAUAACAAUGACAGUUAAAUCAGACUAUAUCUCUAGGGACAAUCAUGGUUGUGGACGGAAUUGCAGAAUCUCCACAAGAGACCAGGAGUCCGAGGACAAAGUGAGG